rnacentral:misc_RNA from 1 species
UUUCCGUAGGUGAACCUGCGGAAGGAUCAUUAACACAACUUUACCCAAUCUUUUAUCACACACCCCAAAGCGAACGAUUGUUUGGAGAUCGAGUUUCGACUCUUUUUCCGCAUUUUUCUCUUCUUCCUUUUUUCACAAACCCCAAUUUAACACUUCCGACUGAAACUAAAAAACAAAAAAACAAAACAACUAAGAAACAACUCUUAGCAACGGAUAUCUUGGCUCUCGCAUCGAUGGAACGCAGC